GGGGAUUUAGCUCAGUGGUAGAGCGCUUGCCUAGCAAGUGCCUAGCAAGUGCAAGGCCCUGGGUUCGGUUCCCAGCUCCG
rfam:Rattus norvegicus chromosome 12, whole genome shotgun sequence.